rnacentral:antisense_RNA from 1 species
ACCAACGCAUCCAUCCCCAGAGGAACAAGCGAGGAUCUCAGAGCGCGACCUGGACAGGCUCUCACAAAAGUCACCGCGUUUGUGUAGGUAACUAAGGCCUACCGAAACCAGUCAGCCCUAAGUCCACACAGGAGAACCAUGGAGUUGGAGGAAAAGCAGGGAUGUGAAGACAAGACAUAUUAGCAGAGGUGGAUUUACUCUGAAACUGAUGAAGGGCUACUCAGAAGUGUGAUGGAGCUCCAAGGGAGACCAUGCAAAGUGCUCUGAAAAUCCCGGGGCUGAGGGGCCACCUCCAGCCAAGAAAAAUGUGUCACCGCAUCACAGAAGUUCUAUUAAAUCCAGGGAAGAACUUUGAAGAACCUACAAGGAUGCCAGUGAGACACAAUGCCAAUCUUUAAACACCAGCCAGACCCAGAUGUGUGCAGUAAAGUUAUAGCAGUACUGGGUCCCAUACAGAAAGAAGAAACAGACAACCUGAAUCACAGUCAAAAGAGAGUCUCCACAAUAGUGAGGGCUGCAAAACCAGGUGACGUGAAAACCAAGAGAAUGAAUUAAGUAGAUUUGUUCAAACUAAG